GGAAGCGUCUGGAAAGGCGUGCGAUACAGGGUGACAGCCCCGUACACAAAAAUGCACAUACUGUGAGCUCGAUGAGUAGGGCGGGACACGUGGUAUCCUGUCUGAAUAUGGGGGGACCAUCCUCCAAGGCUAAAUACUCCUGACUGACCGAUAGUGAACCAGUACCGUGAGGGAAAGGCGAAAAGAACCCCGGCGAGGGGAGUGAAAAAGAACCUGAAACCGUGUACGUACAAGCAGUGGGAGCCUCUUAAUGGGGUGACUGCGUACCUUUUGUAUAAUGGGUCAGCGACUUAUAUUCUGUAGCAAGGUUAACCGAAUAGGGGAGCCGAAGGGAAACCGAGUCUUAACUGGGCGUUAAGUUGCAGGGUAUAGACCCGAAACCCGGUGAUCUAGCCAUGGGCAGGUUGAAGGUUGGGUAACACUAACUGGAGGACCGAACCGACUAAUGUUGAAAAAUUAGCGGAUGACUUGUGGCUGGGGGUGAAAGGCCAAUCAAACCGGGAGAUAGCUGGUUCUCCCCGAAAGCUAUUUAGGUAGCGCCUCGUGAAUUCAUCUCCGGGGGUAGAGCACUGUUUCGGCAAGGGGGUCAUCCCGACUUACCAACCCGAUGCAAACUGCGAAUACCGGAGAAUGUUAUCACGGGAGACACACGGCGGGUGCUAACGUCCGUCGUGAAGAGGGAAACAACCCAGACCGCCAGCUAAGGUCCCAAAGUCAUGGUUAAGUGGGAAACGAUGUGGGAAGGCCCAGACAGCCAGGAUGUUGGCUUAGAAGCAGCCAUCAUUUAAAGAAAGCGUAAUAGCUCACUGGUCGAGUCGGCCUGCGCGGAAGAUGUAACGGGGCUAAACCAUGCACCGAAGCUGCGGC
rnacentral:rRNA from 1 species